GUCUAGUAUAAGCAAUCUAUACGGUGAAACUGCGAAUGGCUCAUUAAAUCAGUCAUAAUUUAUUUGAUAGUACCAUUCUACUUGGAUAACCGUGGUAAUUCUAGAGCUAAUACAUGCUAAAAACCCCGACUUCGGAAGGGGUGUAUUUAUUAGAUAAAAAACCAAUGCCCUUCGGGGCUCCUUGGUGAUUCAUGAUAACUUAACGAAUCGCAUGGCCUUGUGCCGGCGAUGGUUCAUUCAAAUUUCUGCCCUAUCAACUUUCGAUGGUAGGAUAGUGGCCUACCAUGGUUUCAACGGGUAACGGGGAAUUAGGGUUCUAUUCCGGAGAGGGAGCCUGAGAAACGGCUACCACAUCCAAGGAAGGCAGCAGGCGCGCAAAUUACCCAAUCCCGACACGGGGAGGUAGUGACAAUAAAUACUGAUGCAGAGCUCUUUUGGGUUUUGCAAUUGGAAUGAGUACAAUUUAAAUCCCUUAACGAGGAACAAUUGGAGGGCAAGUCUGGUGCCAGCAGCCGCGGUAAUUCCAGCUCCAAUAGCGUAUAUUAAAGUUGUUGCAGUUAAAAAGCUCGUAGUUGAACCUUGGGCCUGGCUGGCCGGUCCGCCUCACCGCGUGCACUGGUCCGGCCGGGCCUUUCCUUCUGGGGAGCCGCAUGCCCUUCACUGGGUGUGUCGGGGAACCAGGACUUUUACUUUGAAAAAAUUAGAGUGUUCAAAGCAGGCCUAUGCUCGAAUACAUUAGCAUGGAAUAAUAGAAUAGGACGUGUGGUUCUAUUUUGUUGGUUUCUAGGACCGCCGUAAUGAUUAAUAGGGAUAGUCGGGGGCAUCAGUAUUCAAUUGUCAGAGGUGAAAUUCUUGGAUUUAUUGAAGACUAACUACUGCGAAAGCAUUUGCCAAGGAUGUUUUCAUUAAUCAGUGAACGAAAGUUAGGGGAUCGAAGACGAUCAGAUACCGUCGUAGUCUUAACCAUAACUAUGCCGACUA
rnacentral:rRNA from 1 species